rnacentral:rRNA from 1 species
GAAUUGACGGGGACCCGCACAAGCGGUGGAGCAUGUGGUUUAAUUCGAAGCAACGCGAAGAACCUUACCAGGCCUUGACAUCCCAUUGACCGGUCCUUAACCGGACCUUUCCUUCGGGACAAUGGAGACAGGUGGUGCAUGGUUGUCGUCAGCUCGUGUCGUGAGAUGUUGGGUUAAGUCCCGCAACGAGCGCAACCCUUAUCCUUAGUAGCCAGCACGAGAGGUGGGGACUCUAGGGAGACUGCCAGGGACAACCUGGAGGAAGGCGGGGAUGACGUCAAAUCAUCAUGCCCCUUAUGGACUGGGCUACACACGUGCUACAAUGGCGGCGACAAAGGGAAGCGACCCUGUGAAGGUGAGCGAAUCCCAAAAAAGCCGUCCCAGUUCGGAUUGUAGUCUGCAACUCGACUACAUGAAGCCGGAAUCGCUAGUAAUCGCGAAUCAGCAUGUCGCGGUGAAUACGUUCCCGGGUCUUGUACACACCG